rnacentral:lncRNA from 1 species
UUUAAAUUCUAAAAUUAAAUUUAAUAAAUUAGAUAUUUUAAAAGUUAUAAAAUAAGUUUAUUUUAAAUUAAAAAAAAUUAAAGAAGUUAUAAAAUAAAGUUUUUUUUUAUAUUUAAAAUUUUAAAGUGAAAAAUUAAAUUUAAAUGUUAUUUGAAAGUUAUAAAUUCCAAAUAACUUCUUUUUAAUUUAGUGAAUAAUUUAAAUAUAAAAAAUAUUUAUUAAAUUAGAAAGAUAUUUAAAAAGAUAUUUUAAAUUAAAAAUAUUUAAUAACUUCAUUUAUUAAAAGAUACCCCCAAAUCGUGAAAACCCCCAAAACCCCCAAACCCCUCCCCCAUUCCCUCAGAAAAAAGGAGUUCCCCUCAUUCCCCCCCCCAUUCCCUUCCAACGGCAAAGGAGUUCCUCUCAUUCCCCCGAGUUCGGAUCGGACUGUAGAAGUCACGCGGAGAGCAGCAGCAAAUCUACUGUAGAAUUCUCAACAUCGACUGUAGAAGUUAUAUCCCACCACCUCUCGUCGUCGGCUGCGAGUUUUUCAGAGAAGGGAUCUCGCCGCCCGGUUGUUGUAAGUCGAUUUUAAGCAUUCAGUUCAACAAUAGAACGUAUUUUUCCUUAAUCGUAUUUGAUCCCUUUCAAUAGCAUUGUGUCCGUCUCUCAUUCCUAUAUAAUGUUAUAGAUGUAGUUAUAUUAGGAGUGAGUGACUAUGAGAACUUUCUCAUUCCUAAUCUUGUAAUCUGUGCUUUCAUUUUACUGAAAUUUUAAUAUUAUCAAAAAAGAAAAGAUAUGCAUUUGAAAUGUAAUCUGAAGUUUGAACCCAAACAGAAUAUAAUGUUAGUGUGUUGCUCACUUUUCUACCAUAGGUUUGUUGGAGUUGGAGCUCGGCAUGUAAGGUCCUUGUUUCAAGCUGCUAAAAAAAAGGUUUUUAAUUUUACAUAUACUUUGCUGUUUUUUCAAUUUUUGGUCUUUUUUGCAUUUUUUGUGUAAAAUUAAAUCAUUGGAUCAUCUUCUAUAAUAUAAAACUUUUAUUUUGAAAGCAACAUAGAACUUUAUAUGAAGUGUUAGAACUUAGAGAGUUUGAGGAGUAUAUUUUUCUUUCUAGAUUCUAGUAUGUAGUAACCACAUGGAAUUUAAUGAAAGGUUGCCAAAUGUCCAUGGCUUGAACAAUAUGAAUAUCUAAGUUCUCUCCCUAUUAAUGGCAGUUCCAAAUGCUUAAUUGGAAGCGACCUGAUAGGGUAGUUCAGAAUGCCUUGUAGACUUCCAUCUUUGUGACCUGUCGGUGUUAAGCAUAUUUCACUUUUUCUUCUUCUGGAAUUGGAGAUAGACCUGAAAAUUAAGUAACUAAGGGCAGUUCAAGAAAGUAAAGAAGACUUUGAUCGGGAGGCCAUUAGAAAACAGAUGCCGGAUAUACUAAAGGAACUAAGGGAAGACUUACGUCGAGAGACGAUUGAGGUAAUUAGCAUUUAUAUAUAUAUCAAUAUUCAUAUUUUCUUUAUAAUUUCAAUUUUUUUUUACAUUAGGGUCAGUCGAGCCAAGGACGCGACGACAUAAUCACGCCUACUACAAGAGAUUCAAAUGUCGAAAAUGUUGGCAAAAAAGCGACUCAAAGUCCGACUAAAAGUGGGACGAAUAGCGUGACUGACACCAACAAAUAGGUUCCUCUUCUUUUAUCUUUUGGUUUAGUUUUGUUUUGAAUAACAUGAAUUGUAUGAAUGGUAUGUUUUGUUGGUUAUUGAAUGGUAUGUUUUGGAAUGGAAUGGUAUGUUUUAUUGGUUAUUGAAUGAUAUGUUUUGGAAUGGAAUGGUAUGUUUUGGAAUGACAAUAGGUAUGGAAUUGAAUGGUAU